rnacentral:piRNA from 1 species
CUAGACUGUACAGAGAUAUGGUGUGG